UACGAGAGGCCCAAACGUUAUUCGGAUUUACUGGGCUUAAAGAGUUCGUAGGCGGCGCGGAAAGUAGGGUGUGAAGGCCCUCGGCUCAACCGAGGAAUUGCGCUCUAAACUACCGUGCUCGAGGAAGCUAGAGGUGAGCGGAACUGAUGGUGGAGCGGUGAAAUGCGUUGAUAUCAUCAGGAACACCGGAGGCGAAGGCGGCUCACUGGGGCGUUUCUGACGCUGAGGAACGAAAGCCAGGGGAGCGAACGGG
rnacentral:rRNA from 1 species